GCAGCCGCGGUAAUACGUAGGGUUCAAGUGUUGUCCGGAAUUAUUGGGCGUAAAGGGCUUGUAGGCGGCCGGUCGCGUCUGGUGUGAAAUUCCGCCGCCCAACGGCGGAACUGCGCUGGAUACGGGCCGGCUAGAGUGCGGCAGGGGGGACUGGAAUUCCUGGUGUAACGGUGGAAUGUGUAGAUAUCAGGAAGAACACCAAUGGCGAAGGCAGGUCCCUGGGCCGCAACUGACGCUGAGGAGCGAAAGCGUGGGGAGCAAACAGGAUUAGAUACCCC
rnacentral:rRNA from 1 species